ACGCUCGACACCUACGGAGGCAGCAGUGGGGAAUAUUGCACAAUGGGGGAAACCCUGAUGCAGCAACGCCGCGUGAAGGAAGACGGUUUUCGGAUUGUAAACUUCUGUUCUUAGUGAAGAUAGUGACGGUAGCUAAGGAGCAAGCCACGGCUAACUACGUACCAGCAGCCGCGGUAAUCUGAGCGGGCUGGCAAGGC
rnacentral:rRNA from 1 species